rnacentral:rRNA from 1 species
UGGGGAAUCUUGCACAAUGGGGGCAACCCUGAUGCAGCGACGCCGCGUGAGCGAUGAAGCCCUUCGGGGCGUAAAGCUCUUUCGACCGGAACGAUAAUGACGGUACCGGGAGAAGAAGCUGCGGCUAACUACGUGCCAGCAGCCGCGGUAAUACGAAGGGGGCUAGCGUUGUUCGGAAUCACUGGGCGUAAAGCGCACGUAGGCGGACUUUCAAGUCAGGGGUGAAAUCCCGGGGCUCAACCUCGGAACUGCCUUUGAUACUGUUGGUCUCGAGUCCGGAAGAGGUGGGUGGAAUUCCUAGUGUAGAGGUGAAAUUCGUAGAUAUUAGGAAGAACACCGGUGGCGAAGGCGGCCCACUGGUCCGGUACUGACGCUGAGGUGCGAAAGCGUGGGGAGCAAACA